rnacentral:rRNA from 1 species
UACAGAGGUCUCAAGCGUUGUUCGGAUUCAUUGGGCGUAAAGGGUGCGUAGGUGGCGCUGUAAGUCGGGUGUGAAAUUUCGGGAGCUUAACUCCGAAACUGCAUUCGAUACUGCGGUGCUUUGAGGACUGGAGAGGAGACUGGAAUUCAUGGUGUAGCAGUGAAAUGCGUAGAGAUCAUGAGGAAGACCAGUGGCGAAGGCGGGUCUCUGGACAGUUCCUGACACUGAGGCACGAAGGCCAGGGGAGCAAACGGG